rnacentral:misc_RNA from 1 species
GUACUCUCACUCUCUCUAAUUCUUUCGAUUUGGGGAGUGGUGGACUUGGGUGCUUGCUGCUUUCCUUGUGGCUCACCUCAAAUAUGUCAGUACACCUCUUGGUGGUACAUAGUACGGCGUGAUAAGUGUCUUCGCCGGCACCUCGCAAGAGGGUGGACAAUCAGGAGCUCUGUGCUUCAAACUGUCUUUGGACAAUCUUUGACA